AAACUUUCAACAACGGAUCUCUUGGUUCUCGCAUCGAUGAAGAGCGCAGCGAAAUGCGAUACCUAGUGUGAAUUGCAGCCAUCGUGAAUCAUCGAGUUCUUGAACGCACAUUGCGCCCCCUGGUAUUCCGGGGGGCAUGCCUGUUUGAGCGUCGUUU
rnacentral:rRNA from 1 species